AGAUUUUGCCCUCGCUUAAAAUCUCAAGAAACCAUUAUUGAUAAAAUUCAGAACCGAAUUCUUACAUUAAAAUUGACGUUGUUCUACUUUUGAAAUCACAAAUUUUAUAAAACUUUUGCCCUCGCUUCGCUCGGGCCAUUCAAGGCGUUUCUUUUAAAAAGGUUACGAAUAUGAAAAUUAAACAGAAAAAUUCCAGAAAUACUUACUCACAAUACUCAAAGCGUAUGAAAAAUGCCAAUUUUUCACUUUUUCUGAACAGAACCACUAGAUUUUCAAAAAUUUUUGAUACCACAGUGAUCUCAGCACGUUGAAACUUUGAUUAUUGCAGCAAAAUUACAAUUUUUUGUCGCCCCCCCCCCGCUAGAGAAACCCUUUAACCCUUCGCGACGUCACUUAGAGUAGGGGGCUUAUUCUGAAGUGUGCCCUUUUGAAGUGUUUUGCGUACUGGGCCCCAUCCCCCUUAAAUCCACCACUGGUCUGGACACUUUUUUCGUUACCAAACCGCGCUCUGAAAAUUAACGACAAUUUUUUUUCGGGGAGGGCUUCAAAGUACUCCCUAAACGCUACAUUUUGGCGGGAUAAUUUCAAAGAAAGAUGCAGUAAUAAGCUCCUUACAGCAAAUUUUUUAAAUUUUGCCAUUUUUGUCCAGACUAUCCCUCUGUAGUGUGAUAGGUAGUCUAGACGUGUCAAUUUGAAGAAAAAAAAGCAAAACAACUAGGUAUAUACUUAUUUUCGUCAUUAAAAGUUUUAUUCUGUGGAGGGAGAAAUGUUCGGAAAAACCCAUAAAACAAAAAAUUAAAUUUUUCGUUUUGAAGUUUUUGAUUUUUCGCCAAGAAUUCAAAAAUGAAGAUUUUUGAAUCUUGAUUUCUUGAAGAUAAGAAAAUAUAGACUAAUUCAAAUCCUCUUUGGCCAUCUGGAUAUCGGAUUCAUGCACUCUCGUUUUGGUGGAAUAAUUGGUGAUGGAAAUAUAAGAUAUCUCUCGCGAUUCUAUGCUAACUCAUCGAGAUCUCAGGAUCGUACGAAUCGCGGAUGUAAAAUGGGUUCCCUCCCCAAUGUUUACAUAUUUAUAAUAUGUGGGGUUAAAGAUGAAUUUAUUGAAGCUUGAGCUAAGUUAUGAUGGAACUUACGACGGAAUGAUAUAUUGUUGGUAAAGUUGGAAGUAUUCAUUGAAUUCUCAAAGUCACGAAAGUUGAAUAAAAGUCCAAGACAAAUUCACAUUUAGGACAUUUAUUCUUAUAUGUACUUAAGGGAUAAAACAAAGACAAAUAAAAAGGAUCGCAACCCUGGGGAAUUUUGGGAAUACUUAAACUAGGAGCAACAAAAAAGAAAAUAAAUAUUUAAAAAAGAAAUAAGAAAGGAAGACACCCUGAGCGAUGCGUCUGAACUUAAAACUAAAAUGCACGUCCUGAGCGAUACGUCAUUUUCAAACAAAAAAGAAAAUAAAGAAAGACAAUGUGAACCAAGGUCUUGAAACUUAAAGCUAAAGUUGGAAUGUGAGCCAAAGCAACUUGUGAUUAAAACCUAUCUCUAGCUUUUCAAAGAGUGAUCCGAGACAGCUGAAGAUAUGCACUAAUUGACCCAAAGGGACUUAACUUGAGAAACGAAGUCAUUGCAGAUGAUGACUAAGUCCGAGGCUGCAGACGCCAAAAUUCAUCAAAGUCCAAUAAAUCACGAACUGAAGGAAGCUAAAGCUGGAAACAGUAGGAACUACUGUUGGAAAUAUUGAGCUAAAGAUGGAUUUAUUGGUCUCUUCUGGCUAAUGGGCUCCAGCCCAUCAGCGGUGAUGGAAGUAAAGUUGGAACUAUACUUGGCGGCGUCGAUGUCUGCAGUCCUACCAGAAUUGUCUCGGAUCAGCUCUUUUAUAACUGCGCUUUUACGAAAACUCGGGCGGGGAAAGGUACAUAGUCAGUGGCGCACGCGCUCAACGCUUCUAGCGGCGCUACGAUUCGCGGAUGGCGCUAGAUUACGUCAUAUUCGAUUAUACUCGGCGAUAUUUGUGUUGAACUGGUUUUUCAUUGGCUAUUAUCGCGAGAGUGGUGGAUAGCUUGGCGCCACCACCUAAAAAACGAUGAUGUAAUCGAGUAUAAUCGGCUGUAUUCGAUAAUUGCUUGAUUAUAAUUGGACGUAAGCGCCACCACCACUGAGUAGGAAGUUUAAAUUGUCGGGGCUUGGUCACUGACGUCAUAAUUGGUCACUAAAAUGAUCGAAAAUCUGUCACUUAGGAGGUAGAAAAAUAUUCUUCUGCUAUAGCGAAUGAGAAUUUUCCUCCCAUUAAAGAGAUAGGAAAAUUUUCUCCCAUUAAGGUGACUGAACUUUUCAUAAAUAAAUUUCUCCCAGUGUAGGUGACGGAUAAAAAUAUUUUUCUCCCACAUAAGUGGGAGAACUGCGUGUAUUUUUCUCCUACUACAAUUCUAUCGUUUAGACAUGUUUUUUGUUUUUUUUUUUUUGCCGGAAGGAGUUGUCGUGAUUCAUAAUUUAAAAUAGUCGCGCGGACCCAUUAUGUAAGUUGUUGAAAACCUGUCGUUUUGAGGACCUAAUUAAUUGUCCUGUCACACCUUUUAUUUACGUUUGCGGGUGUCGUUUAAACAACCUUUUUUGUCGUGCGAUUACAUAUAGGCCUAUAUAUUUGUUUCCCUCGAGAAAAUAUCUCAGAAUUCUAGAAAAAUAUAGAGUAAUGGAUCUGAACUGCAACUGGGAGAUUAAGAUGAAGAACUUGGUGUAAUUAAUGGAUACAGUAAGGAAUUUGGGACCGGCGCGGGCGGCGGUUUCAACUCCCAGGACGUGAUCAGCUGAUGCCAGUUGCAUUUUUCAACUAGAUAGAUUGGAUGCCGACCAAUUGACCAUACCCAGACCAGCAUCCCCAUGGUUGAUAUAUGUAUUGUAUCUUGUACUCGUACCACAGCUCUGGCAGUUUACAAGUAAAUAACUAUUAGGUAAAUACCAGCGUUGCCUUCAUCUGCAGUUGUGCAGUCAGUAGCUCUGUCUAAUUCGAUCUGGCAUCACGGAAAAUGAAAACUUCAAUCCGUCUAUUGUUUCUCUUAUGGUUGCUUAAUUUGGCCACAAGUGAGUCAUUCUGUUUUAUUCGAGCUGUAAGUUGUAACCUAUAUAAUUAUUAUACAGGAAUACUAGCAACUGGUAACUAUAUAUACAAAUACGUAUAUCGAGGUAGCAUAAUUUAGCUUUCUUGAGAAAGAAUGCUUCGUUUAAUUCGAUAUACAUUUCUGUGUGGCCUUGCUUAUUCAAUUGAGUUAAAUUAUCUAAAUGCUCUUUUUUCGACAUUUUUUCAAAAAAUCGAACUAAUCAACAAAAAAAGGAAGAAAAACGCUGCUUUCUCAAAUAUUUGUGGUCAAUGGAAAAGCUACGUGUAUAUUAUGGGAAAAAGAAUUACGUAUGUACUUCUGGACAGCACGUAGGUGGUAGAUGCGGUAGAUGUUCACACUGCAGGCACCAGUGAGGUAUAUACCGUGUUCGACGUUGGUGUUGUGUAGCAGCUCUGCUACUGCUACGAUAUACGAGUAGGUUGGUUUCAUCUAGAAGAUAUUUUGUACUACAGUCUACAUGCGAUAAAUGACUGGACCGGCGUGGCUAAUCUUUCUCCCGUGUCCGAAUUGAAACGGAGAUUUCUUUUAAAUUAUCGACUUGGAAAAACUUUCAAUGUUUGCAAAUUUCACCUAACGGAGUAACGUGUAACGUUCCCGAACAAGUUACUUACUGAAAAUGAAAAAGCUGGCUCAUUUACCGUUUACGCGAUACGCGCUGAUGUAUUCGAAUGAUGCACCGCUUCAAUGGACUCAUCCAUCAGAUGAGUCGGGAAAAACAGUCAGCGAAAGUCGGAAUGAAAGCGGUACCUAUAUUUCAGCCAUCUAGCGAUAGAAUAUCGACUCGUUUUUUCGAUGCCGGAUGUUUCAUUUACCAGUUGAAAAUCAACGCCAGUCAAACAGCAAAAGUGUAUAUUUGAAAUUUUAUUUUGAUGAAAACAAAUCCUUCUUCAACGUCACCUUUCGCGAACCAAUCUCCCGAACUGAUUCACCAUCAAGUUUGAGAAGCGCAAAUCAAGUGUGUUGUCAUUAUUAGAGCCGGAGCCUGAAACUACUCGCACAUCCAAAACCCAUCCAUCUCGUGGUUGAUAUUUUCAUGAGAUUCGAUCCGGAUGGCAAAUACCUACGCGAUGGUAUGACAUUGACAACAAACGAAGAACCAACCUUCAUUUUCGCUUAAAAUGAAAAACAUCAGUAUGUAUUUUGAAAUUUUGGUACAUAAGCUGAAGGUACAUACUUACAACUAAAACUAGGUAUUCAACAUCCAUUGUGCCUCUACUUACUGAUUGCAUUUUGGUUUUUGCCUUUCCAAGAUCCCGAAAAUCGUGACUAAAUUUUGUGCACUACAUUUUACGUUGUUGUAGGUCGGCCGCGGCGGCGCGGCACGGUCACGUGAUGAUGUUGUGGAAGUGGAAGUGGAAGUGCGGUUGAGUGACCGCGCAUGAUGAUUCAUUGUUGGACUCGGGCAUUUUUUUUUUUGCCUGCUGUUUUAUUACGACAUGUUUCAGGUAUUCAUAACUCUUCAUGAUCGCCGGAUCAUUACAUGCACAACAUCGCAGUCAUGUUCAGAGCUGAAUAAACGAAGUAUGUACAUCGUGACUUGAGCAGCGCCGCUUGUAGAUUCUCCUUCAGUCAUCGCAGCAGCCUCAUCAGCUACAACGUACCUGUGUUUUUCAUCGUCAUCGCCUUCGUAUACCGUUUGCUGAACUGAAUUUUUCUGAUGGUCGCUGCGCCAAGUCGUCAUCGAGCAGUGAGAGGAAUUUCUUACCAGAGCCGAGAACAAUAAAGUUGCGACUAAAACUCACUCGACGAUGUUUGCUGCUUUAGUUACUCGAAUCAAAUUAAUGAGCAAAUUUUGCUUACUACCCCCCCCCCCCUCUCACCUCGUUAAUUGCUCAGUGGAAACGAGGAGAAAUUUCCUGCUAUCGGUUCAAACGCUCUGCUUUCUAAAUUUCAACUUUGAAAAAUAUCUUUCGUCACUUUCUGUGAAAAUGAAAUCAUUAUGCCCUGAUGUUACCUUGUCGUGAACAAAUUUCGACCCACGUUUCCGGUAAAAUAGGAUUUUCGCCGUUUCCUUCGUCCGUUUGUUGUGUUUGAUUCUCAACAUUCCGUUGAAAUUGUAUUCUGUCAUGUAAAUUAGUGCGUUUAAUUCCCCCUCCCUUCUGCUCUCCCUCUCAAUACGAAUUGUUACCCCCCCCCUCUCACCCGAAUCAUUUGUCUCACGUUACUUAAAUAUCUAAUGAUAUGUUGACUAUACUUUCACCCUCCACUCCUCCCCAAAGAUUUUUUCGCUUAGCUUUUGUAACUUGGGGGGUUUCGUUUUCUCAAAAUUUUUGCGGGUAUUUCAUUUUUUUUCGAUUGCAAGACGUACAUAUUAUUUGCUCGCGGAAAUCUGCCUUCGUCGUUCGUUUUGAUAUUUAUGAUUUUCUGAUUCAUUUUGGGCUAUCGAUAUAUUGCUAUUUACAAAAACCCGAUGAUUAAUCGAAAAAUUUCGGGUGGUUGGUUGUUAGGGAAGGUGUUUCACGGUUAUUUGAACUAAUUGACAUCUUGGAACGUGGUCGUGGGGUUAUUAUUUUUGGUUAGAUAGGCUGCAAGUUUGAAUUACAACCUGAUAUCGUAGCAGUUGAGGAUCAAAACUUUUUUUUCAAAAGAGAAAUGUUGGCGUGUAGUGCUGGUGAUGAGUUUAUAUAGGUAUUUGUGUGCAGAUGGAAGUUGCGUGGCGGCGGUGGUGAGUGUUGGUAGGGGAUGCAGUUGUGGCUGGUCUUGUUAAGUUCUGUCCCAUUCUGGCCUGUUAAGCAUCAACCCACAACUGUACAUUUUCCAUCGCGAUUUUUUGAAAAUUUGUCUUCUGUUAGCUUCUAGGUUAAGAAAACGCAUCCGCGGGUAUGGGCUCUCGCCCAAGGAUCCGUCAGGUCGGGGGCCUGCUCGGUGGGCCGCGCUGGCAGAAAACUGUACGGAGUCCAGGGGCCGAUGAUAUUCGUUGAAUUGAGGGAAACCUGGUCUCACUCCAACGAGGGGUAGUCGUAAUAGGCUGGUACAGGAAGUAACGUUUGCGUUUCCAUCUAGCGGUUAUAGUCUGACUGUUUCUCGCGACCUUAGUUCCGGUUCAUCAAAGAUGGAGCAGGGAUGGUUAAUGUUACCCUCAGAAUCGUGAUAUUGGCCAUUCUUGCCAUCGAGGAGGACCUGCCUCGGUUGGUUCGCCAGAUCUGCCUGCGAACCAACCGCACGCACAGUAAGUGGUGCACUCUAGGUUUUGCAUACACUUGCUUGCGUGAAAUGUGAGUUGCGUUUUUUUUUUUUUUUUAGAGAAAUUUCAAAGCAGGCUGACAUGGUUUUGUUGCUUCGGUCAACUUGCCAGGCAGGUGAGCGUGUGUGUGAAAAGGUGUGUGGUGAUCUGGACUGCGUACGAUGUCUGGUUGUGCUUGAAUUUGUGUUUUGUAAAAUUCGAAUGAAAAAAUUAAAGUUGUGGAGUAUUUGAUCGUGUUGAAAUGAAAAACAUCCUUGAAAAUAACGUAAUUUUUCGUAGUGCGAAUGAUUUCGCAAUGAUUAGAUGCGAGAAGAGUGGAUUGAUUUCGUAAUGUUUAAUCCGGUACAAAAAUAUUAAAAGAAUCAAUAUUUCAAUCAAUCAUUCCAUACCUCUAGUAACCUCCCCCCCUCCCACCUACUGAAUUAAUUUUCUUGUAAGUUGUUGGAACUGUUACCUAUGUUUGUUUUUAGAAAAUACGUUCGUAUUUUUGUCUUUUUUUGUGUAUAUUAUUGAUGUACGUAUUUUGUUGUGUAAUUUUAUUGUUGAUGUACCUACUUAUUCGGUGUUCAAUAUUGUCACGUCAUAACAUAUUCCAUCAUUGAUUUGAUAAGUGUAUCCUGUACGUUGUAAUAUUUUCUAUAAAUAGUGGUAAAAUGUUCAUCUUUAAGUUCUCGUGUGCUUAGCUAUCUUUAUUAUUGUAAUAGGUACCUAUUAUUUUUAGUGUAAGUAUUUGAAUUUGUUUUCAUAUUUUUGUACAUGUAUUACUUAUUACUCUUGUUACUUUCAUCUUUGUAAUGAUCGAUCAUGGGGUUUCACUAUUGAGCGGCGAACAGUGUUUUUUUGCCCAGAUCGAUCAAUAGUAUGUAUAGAAUAAGUCUUCCAUUUUUUUCCGCCGCAUCGCCAUCGCGAUUUUUACUUUGUUUUGUGUGAUUUUAAUUCGUCGCAUGUGUUGAAACUUUAUUUGCAUAUCUCACUAAUGAUAGGUAUAGGUAGGUACAUAAAUCAGCGACGAAUCAAGUUAGCAUAAUUCGCCUGGGAACGUUCGACUCAUUUUUGAAUUUGAACUCUUGAUAGUAUUGCAGCUGAAACAGAAGGCCAACUACCAAAAUGCGCGAACCAUAUUGGAUUAUUUUGACCAAAGUAGAGAAUUUUAGCUUUUGGCUUAGCUGUGGUAAAUGUAAUGAUGAAAUUCGGUAAUUUUUGUUUGUUAUAAUUAUGAUACGAACGAUGUUCAAUUCAAAAGAAACUGGAAA